rnacentral:rRNA from 1 species
UACGUAGGGUGCAAGCGUUGCCCGGAUUUAUUGGGCGUAAAGGGCGCGUAGGCGGCCUUGCGUGUCUUUCGUGAAAUCCCUCGGCUUAACUGAGGACGUGCGGAAGAAACUGCAGGGCUUGAGUCCGGGAGAGGGGGGUGGAAUUCCCAGUGUAGCGGUGAAAUGCGUAGAUAUUGGGAGGAACACCGGUGGCGAAGGCGGCCCCCUGGACCGGUACUGACGCUGAGGCGCGAAAGCGUGGGUAGCAAACGGG